rnacentral:tRNA from 1 species
AAAAAAACAGUAGGUUGCAAUUCUAAAAAUGUAAAAGUACCUUGGCUUAUAAGGUUUAAGAG